GGGUAUCACUUUGGCUGCACAUAUACUAAAAUUGGAACAAUAUAGGGAAGAUUAGCAUGGCCCUGCACAAGGAUGACAUGCAAAUUCGCGAAGAAUUCCCUAUCUUU